CCUACGGUGGGCUGCAGUGGGGAAUAUUGCACAAUGGGGGAAGCCCUGAUGCAGCGACGCCGCGUGAGUGAAGAAGUAUCUCGGUACGUAAAGCUCUAUCAGCAGGGAAGAAAAUGACGGUACCUGACUAAGAAGCUCCGGCUAACUACGUGCCAGCAGCCGCGGUAAUACGUAGGGAGCAAGCGUUAUCCGGAUUUACUGGGAGUAAAGGGCGUGUAGGCGGGCAUGCAAGCCAGAAGUGAAAUCUGGGGGCUUAACCCCCAAACUGCUUUUGGAACUGCGUGUCUUGAGUGAUGGAGAGGCAGGCGGAAUUCCCAGUGUAGCGGUGAAAUGCGUAGAUAUUGGGAGGAACACCAGUGGCGAAGGCGGCCUGCUGGACAUUAACUGACGCUGAGGCGCGAAAGCGUGGGGAGCAAACAGGAUUAGAUACCCUGGUAGUC
rnacentral:rRNA from 1 species